GUAGAUGAGUUCUCCGGCAGCGUGACGGCGCUCCGGAGGUUGGUGGUGAUCUAAUCUCGGCAGGGCUCCGCCCGAGCUCCGCAGAAACGCGAUCUAGAGGUAAAACCGUGGAGGUAUGUGGUCGGGCUGCCCUAGAAAAGUUGUCUCAAAUCAGCCCUAAUUGCUCCAUAUAUAUAGGAGGAGGGAGGGGAGGCUUGCCUUGAGGCUCAAGGAGCCCCAAGGGCUGCGCACCAAGGGGAGGAGUCCUCCUCCAAUCCUAGUCCAACUAGGAUUGGAAAGUGGAGUCCUUCUCUCCUUUCCCACCUCUUUUUUUUCUUUUCUCUUUGAUUUUCUAUCCUUGGUGCAUAGGGCCCUCUUGGGCUGUCCCACCAGCCCAUCAAGGGCUGGUGCACCACCCCCAAGGCCUAUGGGCUUCCCCGGGGUGG
rnacentral:lncRNA from 1 species